AGGGCGUCGACGAAAAAGUCUCCUUAUUCUGUUUACCAGCCAACCCGGAACUACGCGACAGGUGGAAGCUAGCAGUCGCGCGACAAGAGACUGCCGGGUUCUCGUUUGAAUCGAAGUACUUUCGCGUGUGCGAAAAACAUUUUGAUGCCGGAGACAUUAUUCGUGCGGACGUGUGUACAGUGACUGGAAACGUUGUGUCACUGCCACGCGAUCGACCCAAACUGGUAGAAGACGCCAUUUCAAGGAUUUUCGAAGGCGUCGCAUGCGCCGACACGGCGCCCACCUGCAAAAAGACGCCGAGAGGUAUCUUCAAACUGCGCUACAGCCGAAGUUGCGGCCUUCGCAACUGCAGACGCCACCGAUGCAGUCGAAGAAGAAAUUCACGAUGAAGUACGAACUGUGAAUCGCCUUGGCAGUGCUGAUGCAGAGUGACUAACAGAGCACGCCGUUUGCUUUGCCUCAGAGCUGCAAAGGGUGAAGGCCCAACUUCGCAGUGUGAAGCAACAACUUCAUUCGUGUCAGCGAAAGCUCACAAAAGCGGAGGCGCCGGCAAAUGAAAAACGUGCCAUGCAGGAAACCAGUCAGAAGCUAUCGGGCCGCGAGAAGCUCAUUAUAGAUUAGUGCAUCAUGAAGGCAAACAUGAAGUCCACGAAUUCUGUGCGAUUGAUACCCUGGCAGUUCUUUUGGACGAUAUACUUCUGGAGCCGGCUGAGUGCAUGCAAGAUAUCAAUCGUCCGGAGUCAACGAAGGACUACGUUUUGGACUACCUUGGUGGCUAGAAUGAAAGAAAGUUUGCUAAAAUAAACUGCAAGUACUGCCUCCAAACACUGAGGAGCACCUCCAGAGAGCCAAGUGCACUGGCUAGGGGAUUUUUGCAAGUGCAAUCAGACCAUCUGCUUUGCCUUCUGCAAAUUGUAGACGAGCACCAA